GACGAACGCUGGCGGCGUGCUUAACACAUGCAAGUCGAACGGAAAGGCCCUGCUUUUGUGGGGUGCUCGAGUGGCGAACGGGUGAGUAACACGUGAGUAACCUGCCCUUGACUUUGGGAUAACUUCAGGAAACUGGGGCUAAUACCGGAUAGGAGCUCCUGCUGCAUGGUGGGGGUUGGAAAGUUUCGGCGGUUGGGGAUGGACUCGCGGCUUAUCAGCUUGUUGGUGGGGUAGUGGCUUACCAAGGCUUUGACGGGUAGCCGGCCUGAGAGGGUGACCGGCAACAUUGGGACUGAGAUACGGCCCAGACUCCUACGGGAGGCAGCAGUGGGGAAUAUUGCACAAUGGGCGGAAGCCUGAUGCAGCAACGCCGCGUGCGGAUGACGGCCUUCGGGUUGUAAACCGCUUUCGCCUGUGACGAAGCGUGAGUGACGGUAAUGGGUAAAGAAGCACCGGCUAACUACGUG
rnacentral:rRNA from 1 species